GCAGGGGAUUUCCGGAAGCCAAGAUCAGCUCCAGAGCCUUAGGACCCUGAAGCAGAAAGAGAAGCGAGCAGAUUGAAGACAGGAAGCGGGUCCCAUCCGACUUGGCCACCCUAGCCCAUAGCACGGAGCCCAGAGCCUUGCAAGAGCUGCGUGGAUGUGGGAAGAGUGGAUGAGCGAUGCUGCCACCGACUCUCACCUGGGCCAUCCCAGGGCCCUGGCAGGGAAUCAGACAAAGUUCUUUGCUGAUAUACAAAGGAAGAAAUGCAUUUCUAUACCCUUUCUCUCUGUCUGCUGAACUGAUGGCGGGAAAAGGAGUCAGCAGAGACCCUGCGCUGCUUCCUGAGUGUGUGAAUGAGCCUGUGAGUUUUGCAGAGUCUGGAGAGAGCACAGGAGAAGUGGGAGGUGGCUGGGAGCAGGGAGAGAAAGCGGCGUGCGAGCAGAUGCGGAAGAUGGCCACGGGUGGGUCUGCGGACGUCAGAAUGAAGCAGCAGCCGACAGCCUGCAGGAGGAGAAGGGGGAAAGAAGACCUAAGAGCUACGGGAACACAGAGGUUUGAAACUACUCACCACACAGCGUAAAGCGAAAUAUCCCUGUAAGCUUCGUCAGGGCCCAAGGGGCAUCAGGCUUCUGCAACACCACACAAAAACGGAUGAUUCAAAACGACGGGCAUGCACUGGGCAGGCAAGCCCGCCCCAUUGAGCAGCGCAGGAAGCCAGUUCUGGGUCCAGACAGCAGCCGGAGCACAUGCUGCAACCUCCUCCUCCUCCAAACGCAUAAAGUGAGAUGGAAAAUUGGUUUAAAAGUGCAUAGACUCGGGGCCGCCAUGGUGGCAUAGCGCGUAAAGCCGCUGCCUGCAGUGCCAGCACCCAUAUGGGCACCAGUUUGAGUCCCAGCUGCUCCACUUCCGAUCCAGCUCUCUGCUGUGGCCUGGGAAAGCAGUAGAAGAUGGCCCGAGUCCUUGGGCCCUGCACCUGUGUAGGAGACAUGGAAGAAGCUCCUGGCUUCAGAUCGGCACAGCUCCGGCCAUUGCAGCCUAUUGGGGAGUGAACCAGCAGAUGGAAGACUUCUCUCUCUCUCUCUCUCUCUCUCUCUCUCUGCUUCUCCUUCUCUCUCUGUAUAACUCUGACAUGCAAAUAAAUAAAUAAAUAAAUCUUUAAACA
rnacentral:lncRNA from 1 species